GGAAGUAAUAGUCGUAACAAGGUUUCCGUAGGUGAACCUGCGGAAGGAUCAUUAUUGUAUAACCGAGGUGCGAGGGCUGUCGCUGACCCGAAAGGUCGUGCACGCCCGAGUGCCCUCACACACAUCCAUCUCACCCCUAUGUGCACCACCGCGUGGGUCCCCCUUUGGCUUGUUCGGAGGGGGGCUUACGUUUUCACACAAACUUUGUAUGCAGUGUAGAAUGUAUUUUUUGUUUUUGCGAUCACGCAAUCAAUACAACUUUCAACAACGGAUCUCUUGGCUCUC
rnacentral:misc_RNA from 1 species